UACGAAGGGUGCAAGCGUUACUCGGAAUUACUGGGCGUAAAGCGUGCGUAAGGGUGGUUGUUUAAGUCUGAUGUGAAAGCCCACGGCUCAAACCGUGGGAGGGUCAUUGGAAACCUGGGGGACUUGAGUUGACAGGAGAGAAGAGUGGAAUUGCCACGGUGUAAGCGGGAUGAAAUGCGUAGAGAUGUGGAGGAACACCAGUGGCGAAGGCGACUCUU
rnacentral:rRNA from 1 species